ensembl:lncRNA
CCACAGGCCAUCAAUACACACACCAUCACACACAGAUAAUAGACAGAUGUUUUGUACCCCAAAUAAUUCCAAUUCUAUUCACUACAGGCACAUUUAAGGUCCAGAGAUCAUUGCGGCAGAGGCAGAGCGUAGCUGAAUGAUUGACUGGUAGCCGUCAUUAUCAGACAUGUUCCGUUCGACAUGCGAGUCCAGACUGAGGAGGAGGAGACUAGUCUGCUGUGUGCUUUAAAUUACUGCGGACGGGCUUGGUGAAACCUGGAUUUCUUGGUGCUGAGUGAGCAGACGGUAAUAUACUUACCCUCACUGUCUCUGUGUUCCGGCCUUCAGGACAGAAGCAGUCAUCCAUAAACCACAUCGUCUAGAUCUUUAUUUAUUUUGCCACCAAUCAACUCUGAGCAGCCUGCCGGACAGCUGCAGCAAGUGAAGUCACUUUACGCUCAUUAGCAUG